CAAGCAGUGGGAGCCUCUUUUAUGGGGUGACUGCGUACCUUUUGUAUAAUGGGUCAGCGACUUAUAUUCUGUAGCAAGGUUAACCGAAUAGGGGAGCCGAAGGGAAACCGAGUCUUAACUGGGCGUUAAGUUGCAGGGUAUAGACCCGAAACCCGGUGAUCUAGCCAUGGGCAGGUUGAAGGUUGGGUAACACUAACUGGAGGACCGAACCGACUAAUGUUGAAAAAUUAGCGGAUGACUUGUGGCUGGGGGUGAAAGGCCAAUCAAACCGGGAGAUAGCUGGUUCUCCCCGAAAGCUAUUUAGGUAGCGCCUCGUGAAUUCAUCUCCGGGGGUAGAGCACUGUUUCGGCAAGGGGGUCAUCCCGACUUACCAACCCGAUGCAAACUGCGAAUACCGGAGAAUGUUAUCACGGGAGACACACGGCGGGUGCUAACGUCCGUCGUGAAGAGGGAAACAACCCAGACCGCCAGCUAAGGUCCCAAAGUCAUGGUUAAGUGGGAAACGAUGUGGGAAGGCCCAGACAGCCAGGAUGUUGGCUUAGAAGCAGCCAUCAUUUAAAGAAAGCGUAAUAGCUCACUGGUCGAGUCGGCCUGCGCGGAAGAUGUAACGGGGCUAAACCAUGCACCGAAGCUGCGGCAGCGACGCUUAUGCGUUGUUGGGUA
rnacentral:rRNA from 1 species